AAUAUUGGACAAUGGGCGCAAGCCUGAUCCAGCCAUGCCGCGUGAGUGAUGACGGCCUUAGGGUUGUAAAGCUCUUUCGCGCGCGACGAUAAUGACGGUAGCGCGAGAAGAAGCCCCGGCUAACUUCGUGCCAGCAGCCGCGGUAAUACGAAGGGGGCUAGCGUUGUUCGGAAUCACUGGGCGUAAAGGGCGCGUAGGCGGCUAGAUAAGUCGGGGGUGAAAGCCUGUGGCUCAACCACAGAAUUGCCUUCGAUACUGUUUGGCUUGAGACCGGAAGAGGUAAGUGGAACUGCGAGUGUAGAGGUGAAAUUCAUAGAUAUUCGCAAGAACACCAGUGGCGAAGGCGGCUUACUGGUCCGGUUCUGACGCUGAGGCGCGAAAGCGUGGGGAGCAAA
rnacentral:rRNA from 1 species